rnacentral:misc_RNA from 1 species
AGCAGCCGCGGUAAUUCCAGCUCCAAUAGCGUAUAUUAAAGUUGUUGCAGUUAAAAAGCUCGUAGUUGAAUUUCGGGGUUAGUAGGUUGGUCAUGCCUCUGGUAUGUACUGGUCUCACUGAUUCCUCCUUCCUGAUGAACCUUAAUGCCAUUUAUUUGGUGUUUUGGGGAAUUUGGACUGUUACUUUGAAAAAAUUAGAGUGUUUAAAGCAAGCUAACGCUUGAAUACAUUAGCAUGGAAUAAUGAAAUAGGACGUUCGAUCCUAUUUUGUUGGUUUCUAGGAUUGACGUAAUGAUUAAUAGGGAUAGUUGGGGGCAUUAGUAUUCAAUUGUCAGAGGUGAAAUUCUUGGAUUUAUUGAAGACUAACUACUGCGAAAGCAUUUGCCAAGGAUGUUUUCAUUAAUCAAGAACGAAAGUUAGGGGAUCGAAGACGAUCAGAUACCGUCGUAGCCUUAACCAUAAACUAUGCCGACUAGGGAUCGGAUGAUGUUAAUUUUUUAAUGACUCAUUCGGCGCCUUA